ensembl:snoRNA
AGGAGGACUGAGAAGGUUGGACAGCUUAUAUUGUGCUGUUAAAACUGGUUAUAACCUCCAAGAGGAACAAACAAACCACACGCUUCAUUCACUUUGUGUUGAGCAGAGCUGAUUUGUGUGUUUGUAUAACAA